CAAAAUUCAAAUAUGAAAAAUGCUUUCUGAGAUAAAAAUCGUGGAGAUUCCUAAUAAAAUUAUUUUAUGUGAUAUACAGAGAUAUGUUGAUUUACUAACAAAUAACCAAUAAUUUUUCUAUUCUCUACCAUUUGGUAAAAUAGUAUUUAUAAAGGGGUUAUUUGUGAAAUAACCAAAAAAAAAAGGGGAAAUUAGUUUUGUAGAGAGAAGUUACUUCAUAUUAGGAGUCAUGUAACUAUAACUAUACGUCUACCAAAAUUAAAGUUACUUCAUAUUAGGAGUCAUGUAGUUGAGAAGAUAAAAAGAAUCAAAAAUUUUGAAAGCUUGACAUAAAACAUCAUAUAGUACAAAACGUUUUUGAGUUGUUUGUCAUGUUUGUAUUGUCCUUCCCUUUUGCUUUUACUUUUUCAGUUGAUAUACGAAUGGAGAAUGGAUAUUCUCUUGAAGUUGCCCAAGUCCAGAUUCAUCUGAGUGCAUCG
rnacentral:lncRNA from 1 species